CGCGGCCCGCCGGAUUUAGAAGGAAUACAAAACGGCCAAGUUCGGCGCGGCGGAGAAAGACGAGGUCUCUUUUACCUGCACAGGCGGUUCGGGCCAACGUUGCUGAGAGCCGAGCAGAUGAUGAGGCGCUCCACAGCAAGCACAAGGCCAGUUCAUGCAGGACAUCCUGGGUGCCACCAUUUCUCAAGACUUUCUCAAGUAGAAGGGCAACACAGAUGUACUUUCAGAGCCACCUGAAGAAGUAUUCUGAUCAUGGAAUCCAUCCUGCGCUCCCCCAUAACAGAUUGGACUGGUCAGGAGCAGGACAGGAGCAGACAAGACGUUAAGGGAGAAGAAGCCACGCUGGAAGCACAUUGGCCUGGCACACAGACACGCUGUAAAGUCCAGCAUCCCUGCGUAAACAGAGCUUUGGGGUCUGAGCAAGUAAGAGGUCAAGCAGAUCACGGAGCUGGUGGCUGGUGGUGUGUUCCUGGUGGAUUCCAGAGACGACGUGGAUAAGACGCUGUCACGUCGACUGCUCUGCCCUUAAGAAAAAAGACGGUGAAUAACAUCCCACUGUGAGCAGCCAAAUCAGGACUGCACUCAACCGCUGAUGGGGUAAUGAAGAAGAAGAGGCACAUCUGCACUGCCACGUAACGUCCUUGGAGAAGGCCGCGCACAGGGCGCAUUAGCGCUGCAUUAGCACCGUAGCACCGUAGCGCUGCACAUGCAAUAACGUGCUGAGAGGAUAGGAAGAAUUGAGAAUGCAGUAACAAGAAGAUUGUGAAUAAUUGUACAGCUGAUAUUGAUUUAAAAAAACAGACAUUAAAUUCAACCAAAAAAUUGUGGGUACUGAAAAGGCCAACCAGGCUGGUCCAAUAUGAAUGUGAAAUUUAGUAUCUAUGACCACACAGCAAGGCUAAUUCAUCCAAAAAAAAACUAAGACAAUUGCAUGGCAAUGAUGUGCAUCUUAAGAUCACGACUUAAUCUUUUCACCAUUUCACGCUAGUCAUACGUUUCUGACUUGGCCGAAUGCAGCAGGUGUAUUUGAAUAUAUACCAAUUCCUUUUUUAUUACUUGUGCAAGCAUAAAUGCAUUGGUAACGAUAUAAUUCCCUGACAUAAUGUCUCCUCAAGUGACAGACACUUGCAUGAAAAUUGUCGGUCACUGACAGACACGACUCUAUUUCUGCUUGUGUUAACACCUGAUUGAAGUAUUAAGGAAUACAUUCAUCUACGAUGCUGUAUCUAGCAACGGAUUAUCUCAAUCUAAACCAAUCAGUUCAAACCAAACUAAAAACAAUCAAACAGUCUCUUGAGAACAACUUUGUUUUUCUCGAGAUCAUGAUAGCCAAAAUGGAGGCGCAAUUGUUAUGUUGCCACAGCAAUAACAUUUUCAUCAUAAACGAUUCUACAAAAAAAAAAAGACUGCUUUAAGACCAAGUACCCAUAGCUCUUGAACCGUGUGCCAAGCUGGCAUCACAGAUCCUCCUUACGAUGCGGUAGCAGACAUGGGCACAGAUGUUGGUUGAGAACGGUCAUGGACCGGGAAGACAAAGCAGCAGGUGUUCCCAUUUUCAUUAAUGUGCUUGAAGAAAGCAGAGCAGCCUCUUUCGUAACCAUUCAUAAUAAAGCACUAAAGACAUAAAUUGUUUGUCCA
ensembl:lncRNA